UUCCGGUUGAUCCCGCCGGACCCGACUGCUAUUUGGGUGAGGAUAAGCCAUGCGAGUUGAAUGGGAUACCUAAAUUUCCCAUAGCGAACUGCUCAGUAACACAUGAUCAACUUAACCUAUGGAGAAAAAUAACCUCGGGAAACUGAGGAUAAUAUUUCAUAGUUGAAUAGGCUUGGAAAAGUUUUUCAAUUAAAGGGAUAAGAUAAAUGGUUCUUAUUUGCCAUAGGAUAGGAUCGUGUUCGAUUAUGGUCGUUGGUGAGGUAAAGGCUCACCAAGCCGAUAAUCGAUAGGGGCCGUGAGAGCGGGAGCCCCGAGAUGGGUACUUAGACAGCGACCCAGACCUUACGAGGUGCAGCAGGCGCGGAACCUCCGCAAUACACGAAAGUGUGACGGGGUUACCCAAAGUGUCCUUAUUGGACUGUGGUAGGUGAGUAAUGUCCCCUACUAGAAAGGAGAGGGCAAGGCUGGUGCCAGCCGCCGCGGUAAAACCAGCUCUUCAAGUGGUCGGGAUGAUUAUUGGGCUUAAAGUGUCCGUAGCCGGUUUAGUAAGUUCCUGGUAAAAUCGAGUAGCUUAACUAUUUGUAUGCUAGGAAUACUGCUAUACUAGAGGGCGGGAGAGGUCUGAGGUACUACAGGGGUAGGGGUGAAAUCUUAUAAUCCUUGUAGGACCGCCAGUGGCGAAGGCGUCAGACUGGAACGUGCCUGACGGUGAGGGACGAAAGCCAGGGGAGCGAACCGGAUUAGAUACCCGGGUAGUCCUGGCCGUAAACGAUGCAUACUAGGUGAUGGUACGGCCAUGAGCCGUAUCAGUGCCGUAGGGAAACCGUUAAGUGUGCCGCCUGGGAAGUACGGUCGCAAGGCUAAAACUUAAAGGAAUUGGCGGGGGAGCACCACAAGGGGUGAAGCCUGCGGUUCAAUUGGAUUCAACGCCGGA
rnacentral:rRNA from 1 species